CUGACUUUCUUAUCACACUUGUGUUGACGUUAAAUAUCUUCUUCUGGAGUCAUGGACACCUGAAAAAAAAAGAAAAAAAGAAAAUCAGUGGCCUUGACUCAUCUCCGCUGUGGUGGUGUCACCCGUGCACUGGCUCUUUUGAGGGGCCACGGCAGCCGGUCCUCAGAGCCCUAAAAAGUUUAGUAGGACACUCCAUCCAACUUACAUGGACUUAUUCAUUUCAGCUUUGGUUUUCAGUCUGCUCAUGUAGUAGUGGACAGAAUGAAGAGGCGUGAUCAGUGAGAAAAGUCAAACAUGAAGUGCUGAAGCUCUACAAGCCUGUGUCAUCCAAGUGCCAAGAGCCGAGCGUAAACUUGUCAGAGUGAUGAAGGGGUAACUCCUCCGAACGCCACUGUAAAAUGGGAGGAGGGUUUCCCGCUGGCUCACGGGAACUGUAGAGCUGGGUUGCAGUUUUGGUGCAAUCAGAGGUGGACAGGAUCUGUGGAGCAACUGUAAUAAAAUGUAGCAGGACAGAAAAUCUAGUUUGGGUCCUGCAGCACAGGUUAAAAGGACAGAAG